CCCAAAAGCUUUAAAUUACAACUUUGAUGCCACUGAUCAGGGUUCCCGCAGUUGCAACUGGGACAUGGAGAAGCCGCAGAAGAGGCAGGGCAGGCCUGAAAGCACCAUCUCACACUGCAGAGCUCUCAGCUGCCCAAGUGAUGUGCAGAGAAAUCCCCCUUCAUGAUAGACGGAGUUUGAAGUUCUCCUGGACUCUGGCUGCAGGGGCCUGCCCGUUAGUCAAGAAGUAGCCACUCGGGGCACUAUGAGCACUCCUUGGGGAGCUCACGUGGAGGACGACGUCCGCAGCACGGCUGUCCACACCAGCAAUCCUUGCAGCGGGUCAUAUGGGCUUCACGAGGGUAUGAAGAAAACAAAAUGAAAACAAACUCCUGAGCGCUCACUGCUCAUCACCACUCAAUUGCUCACAAUCCUAGAAAAUAUGCCAAGCAGACUCCUGGACGCUAGAAAAAUGGACUAAAUGUGGCUGGAUAAUAUGUUUCUGCUUCUCAGCUUCUGAAUGUCAUCCAGCAAGAAGGAUCCGUGAGCGGGAUGCUCCACAGAUGUGAUUCACAAAGUCGCCCCUGCUGGCCUUUUUCCUUCCAUCUGGGGGUCAGCCCAGGUCUAUGGGUAAAUCACAUCCUUCUACCAGUUUGUUCCCAGGACCCACCUGAGAAAUCAAAGAACCAACUCCAGUGAUUGGAAAUUGCUGGACAGAAAUGCCCAUUCUCCCCACCUGAGGAAGUAAUCAACGCCAAGAAUGUCCAACUGUGAGUAAAGCCACAGAAGAGAAGGGAGACUCAUGUCCGUGGAGCCAUUAACAACCCACUGGUGGCUCAUCCAGAGAGAACGGAUCUGCAAGAGGUGGAACAACCUACAAAAAAAGAUGUUGCCAAUGAGUUAUUUCCUUUCUCCCCUUUUUUUCUUAACUCCCGAAAUCUAGCUUCAAUCUCUAUCACUCUACUGAAAUUCCUCUUUCACCUGCCUGAAAUUAUACAGUGAGAAAGGGGUUGGGCAGAAAAUCUAUGCUAGGGCUUUCUGGCUGAGGCCAACACCACUGCUUGGCACUGCCUGUGCUAACAAGGAGCAUUUUGACCUCAUAGGAGCAGAAACACAAAGGUUCAUGAGGCCACGACUUGGCAUGGGUGAGCACCUUACACAUGCCGUGUAAGGGACCAUGCUAAGGACUGCGGAUAUGGAGGGGAACACACAGGGCUUCCUGCUUUCAGGUUGCUCAGUGUCUUGGGGAAGGGAGACACUAAUUACACAUACUCACAAAUGUGAGUCCAAUUAAUUACAAUUGUGACGGGCUCAAGGGAGCCAAGAGACUAGUCUUCUUAGGAUAGGUGCAUGGUUCUGUAAGGAAAAGGAAGGAGAGGGUGUGUCCAUUAAGGUGACAGGAGCUGCCUGAACAACUGCCAACACCUUGCUGGCCUAUCUCCCGACAAGCUCAUCUGAUCGGUUUGUAGAUGAAUUCCUGGUCUGUGGGCAGGUUUCCUCCCUGCAGGGAUGGGGGAACAUAGGCCCUUCAUCUUCGGGAUCCACCCUCCUGUGGGCCAGGCCUAGACUUGUCCUCUGACUUGCUUUCACAGCAGUGACCACAAGGAGUACACUGUAUUGUUCAGGUUCUUGAUCUCUUUCUCUGUUUUUGUUUUUAUUUUGUGCUUGUUUUGUUUUAUACUAGUAAAGAUAUUGGUUUGGGUGAGGGCUGUGCUCUGGUGGUGGGCCAGGCUGUAAAUGGUCUUUUAUUCAUGACACAUGUUUAGCACUGACUAUGAGGUAAGCAAGAUGCUGGGAUACUGGAGGACUCAAAGGGAAUAAGCUAUGCCUUUGAUCUACAAUGGCCUAUGUCUCAUCAGGAUAAACAGAAAUUUUGGUAGUUAGAAAGUGGAAUCGGCUCAAGAACUAUUUAGAUACUUAGAUUAUUCUGGAGAUAAAAAUGGAUCCGCUACGAUGCUUCAGCUUCGUGUAACAAUUUCUGGCCCAAGGUAGUUUCAGUGCAGGUGGUUAUGAUCUCACCGAGUCCAGAGUCAGGAGGCUCCAGCGUUUAUUCACCCUGUCAGCAGGGGCAGGCCAUGGCAGCUCCUCUGGGAUCCUCUUCCAGAGGCUCUCACCGAGGCCCUCGGACAGCAGCCCACCCACCCCGCACUGAUUUCCGUUUCCCAGAGGUCCCCUCCUCAGAACUGAUAUCAGAUGGGAGAAGCUUAGGCAGCAAAGGGAACCUCAGAAUCCGGGGUGUGGUUAGGGUCACCAUGGAAACGCCUGGGCGGAGCUUUGGCGAUGGGCGGGUCCCCAGGGAGGACUCACAUCACGUGAGGAACAGCCCCCCUUACGCCAGCUCUCAGAUCCCGUGGUCCUGGGAGCACCAGGUGGCUGCCCUGAGUGGGCCGGUCACUGCCCCCACCCCCAUUUGCUCCACCUGUGAAAGGAAGGCUGUGCGAAGGAGGAGCGAGAACUGGGUGCUGCAAUGGGCAAGGGUCGGUGUGAACACCCCCCACCCCUAGGGGAUGGGAGAUGGUGUCAGGGUCGUGACGUCAAGAGGGCCACAGUGAGAGCCGCCUGGCGAUUGGCCCGCCAAGCUCCGUGGUGAUUGGCCGCACAAGCAAGACCAGCUGAGAAUCACUUGGCGAUUGGCCAGGAGCGCAGCUGUGACGUCACAGGGAGGCAUUGUGACGAGUCAGGGUGGUUAUAAAAGCCGUGGCACCUAUCUGAGGCCUUGCUGAGAGACAGGGCACCUCCGCCUCUACUCCUUCACUUCGCUAUCUCCACCACAUUCUUCAACCCGAAGGACAGCGCGCCCUCCACCCAUCGUCCCGCCCCAGGCCUCUCACCCACACUAUGGGCUUCACCUUCCUGUUCGCCACACCAUCCUGCCCCUCUGCGGUCCCGCGAGGCCCGCACCUGCAUCUGGCGCCUCAGGGACCCAAACCCGGAGGCGCUCCUCACCUACAUUCCCAUUUGGAGUCAGAGUACAACAGACCACUCACCUGAGGUGCUGGUGGCCCAGGGACCUUCAGAUCUCCGGCAUCGAAACUAGAUUCAGGAUAGGAUAUCUGAGAGCCCUCCGACCACGUCAGCACACAGCAGCAGACACCCGGCCAAUCAGGAGCCCUCUGAGCCAGCUCAGCACAGGGUCAGUGAGCACCCUGGACACCUAGCCAACUAGGAGCCUCCCACCCCCAGCGCAACAAAGAGCUACCAAUGACCCCCCAACCCAGUUGCACACCAGGUGUCUGGCCCCAAGUUUUCCCUUUUCGUUCUGCGAUGAGCCCUCCUCUGCCUGGGAUGGUCAGCACCCCUGCCAGGCCCAGGUGAGCUGGCUGGAAGAGGCUGCUACCUGGUAGAAAAAAAAUACCGAAUACCAGUCAUGUGCCACCCCCUCAACCAUGCUGCACUCAGACAAUCUGAGGUCAGAAGUUGCAGAGAGUGAGAAAAGCAGCCUCGGAAACUUCGCAUUGCCUCCUGGCUACCUUGGCCCUGGCCAUGUCCCUGGCCCCCAGGUGGUGCCCCAACCACCAGAAAGAGAAGAACCAGUCCCAGCUGCCCCCAAACCCCACCACGAUUCAAUCAAUCUGUAAAACAGAAGGAAGCCCAGAAAACUCGACAAAACAACCUGAACACAAAAAUGUGGGCAUCUUGACCCAGACAUGAGAAAUCUGAAGCCACCAGUCCAGGCGGAAAUCCAUCUUCCAGUGGAGGGACCAGGUCAGCGGCUGUCUGUGAGGGCAGAGGUUGCUGCCUCUGUUGGAGCCAGGCUCAGAAACGUCCAUGGUUUGUGGCCUAGCCAGUGCUUGGGGCCAUUCAGAGUGCGGUCCCCCUGAUGGGUCACUGUGCUGAGGUGCUGGUGGGCUCAUGGCCUGAAGACCUCUGGCCUGGGACCAACUUCAGCUGUCCUGGUGGCAUAUCCCUUGGGGAGCCUUUUUCUUCUGGGAGUUCUCUUGUUCAGAGGGAGCAAAGGCUGCCAUGCCUUCAAACCAGAGAAUAACCAGAGUUGGAAGAGCUGUCCAUGGAAAUCCGAUUUAUAAAGGUUUGACAGGCUUUGAGGGAAAGCUGAAAUUGACAAAAACAGCUCUUAACAUCAGCAGGGAAAUUAGUAAGAAUCUGUCUGAGAAUGUCUCUGAGCUAAAGGAUUCCCUAAAACUGUGUGAAGAAGAAAACCAAAAGCUGAAAAAUCUGCUUGUCAACUUGGCGUCACAGGAAAGACACGAUUUAAAGAAUUUGCCAGGGGACAGGGCAUCCGUGGACAUGGCUGGAGAUGAGGAGGGGAACUAUGAGCAAGUCCGGAGGAGUCCCUGGCCCUGAGCGUAGAGUCCUUGGCCAAGCUCCUCCAGGCUAAGGGCAGGUCCUCCAGAUUGGAGAGGGAGGUGGACAUGCUACAAAAACAGGCCAAGCAGAGAUGUGAGUGGCAGGCCGACGUCUGUGAGCUGGAAGGCUUCUGCUUU
ensembl:lncRNA